AUUUUUUUUUUUGCAACUGUGUUUUUCUUUCCCUCCCUCCCUGAAAUAUUUUUGCCGCUGUGUUUUCCCCGCCUUCUCGAACCCUAAAGCUUUUUUCUUUCCCUCUCCCAUUUGAUCUCUUCACACUGUCGAAACCUACAUCUCCAUCCAACCCCUCUCCAAUGAAACCUUCUCCAUGAAUCUCUCCUCCUAACUCCUCUAUGUCUAACCCCUUUAUGUCGAAUCCCUCUACCGCUGAACAUCUCCGUCGAUCCUGCUAAACAUCUCUGCCAAACCACCCAUCUUCGUUCCCUCUUUGGAUGAAUCCACAGUUACACUGAUAUUCCUCAAGUAUGGCUGGAAAAGAUCUCUCUUUAUAUUUGAUAUGGUUCCUGUAGCUGUGAUCCUCGAGGUUCUCUCCAAAUCGAAGCGCCAAAGUUGUGAGAGGAGCUCCGAAUAUGAUAAUCUUGACUGCGAGAAGAAGAUCAUCCUUAACUUGGCAGUUCCUAGUGGAUCGGUAGUGAAACCCCAUCUGUUCUUUUCGCUUUCCUCGUCACAAUUUCUUCGUCGCAUUUCUCGCGACAACCCCUAAUUUGUGAUUAUGGGUUGGGACACUCUUCGUCUUGUUUCAGCUCUGCUCGUCUGUUGAGAUAUGAAAGAUCAAUUUCAACUGAGUCGAAUCAUGUGGACGAGCCUCAUAAAUUGGAGGAAGUAGAAACUAUAAGAAAGUCACCUCCACCGUUAGAAAAGUUACUUGUACUGGGUGGCAAUGGUUUCAUUGGUUCACAUGUUUGCAAAGAGGCUUUGGAUCAAGGGUUAUCAGUUUCUAGUCUCAACAGGUUUGGAAGAUCAUCAAUACGUGAACAAUGGGUUGAUAAAGUUGAGUGGCGCCAAGGUUGAAAAUUAAGAGAAGCCUCUUUCCAUGUGAAGGAAAAACAUAUAGUUUAACUUUUUGUGGCUAAUCUUUCUAUUUGGCAGGAAGCCUUCUUGAAAUUCUGGUGACUUUUGUGGUAGUCUAAAAACGUAAUCACACUAGACUGUUUGCUAACAAUCACGGUGACCAUCGAUUUGUUGAUAAGAGUGGAAACAUAUUGCCUGGUUAGUUUAGUUGAUAGCAUGGAUGCAUCAUUUUCAGAACAAUUUUAUUUUGUAUAUUUUUUUUUCAAAUCUUGUUUUCUCAAUGGAGCUUUCCAUCCUUGAAAUUCUAGUGACUGUUGUCGAUUCUAAGAUAUGUCAUCCUACUGAAUUUGACUUUUACUUGUGCAGCCAUGCAAGCAUUCAAGUAACUCAUCUCACAACUUAAUUAAUACCUUUUUAAAUUCUAGGGACUGUUGUAAAAACAUAUGUGUAUUUAUUAUUCUUUUAGAACAAGUUUUUUCAUA